rnacentral:rRNA from 1 species
CCUACGGGAGGCAGCAGUGAGGAAUAUUGGUCAAUGGGCGGAAGCCUGAACCAGCCAAGUAGCGUGCAGGAUGACGGCCCUACGGGUUGUAAACUGCUUUUAUACGGGAAUAACGCGCCUUACGUGUAGGGCUUUGCAUGUACCGUAUGAAUAAGGACCGGCGAAUUCUGUGCCAGCAGCCGCGGUAAUACGGAGGGUCUGGGCGUUAUCCGGAUUUAUUGGGUUUAAAGGGAGCGUAGGCCGCAAGUCAAGCGUGCUGUGAAAUGUCCGGGCUCAACCCGGGCCUUGCAGCGGGAACUGGAGUGCUUGAGUACGCGGAAGGCAGGCGGAAUUCGUCGUGUAGCGGUGAAAUGCGUAGAUAUGACGAAGAACCCCGAUUGCGAAGGCAGCUUGCUGCAGCGGAACUGACGCUGAUGCUCGAAAGCGCGGGUAUCGAACAGGAUUAGAUACCCCAGUAGUC